rnacentral:misc_RNA from 1 species
AAAGUCGUAACAAGGUUUCCGUAGGUGAACCUGCGGAAGGAUCAUUAACAAAUGCAACAUUUGUUGAAACCCAACAUUGUGUGUCAUUAUUUGUUGCUUCCCCUGGGGAAACCCGGGGGAAGGUAUUCACAAACUCAAUUUGUUUUUUUUUUUUUUUUUUUUUGAAAUCACAGUCUGAAAAAAAACUUGGUUUUUAUUUUUAUUUUUUAAAAACUUUCAACAACGGAUCUCUUGGUUCUC